UGGCCAUGCAAUCACCAAGCUCCACCUCACCUCUUCCUUGACUUUCUCAAACAAAUAGAACAUCCAAGAAGCUCCUUACUUCUCCAUUUCCUACGGGUAAACACCCAAGUCUGAAAUUUCAGCUUACUUUGCUCUCUUUUUCUCUUAAGGAAAGUGCUAGGAAGCUCCCUUGAGUCUUCCUCUCAAGUCCACCGAUUCACACACCAAAAGAAAGACAAAACCCCACCCAAAAGUCUUCCCCUUAUCCCAUUUUCUUGGCUGCACCAGACAGAAAGUCCAGCAGCAAGAAGGAAGCUUCUUUCAACUCUCUCAAGCUCUCUACCUCUCAUACCUUCUGGUCCAGCCACUAGGAAAGGAAAUCCUUUCAUGUAUUACCAGUAUCCACGUCUAAGCUCCUUCGACUUUAGGCUCUCGAUUCCUCUGCUUUCAGGUAAGGGAUAAGUUAUAUGAGCAUUUGGUAAGUCAUGAGGUUAUUUUAAAGUAUAUUAUGCAUUAAAAUGUUUUUGAUUAGAGAUAUGGCAUGUAAUCAUUAUUCUGACAAAGAUAUGUUCGUGAGAUUUCGAAAAACUUAUGUAUAUGAUUUAAGCAUAUUGAUGCUAUUAUUGAUUCCACGAACAUGAUGUUUAAUGAAAAGAAUGGAAAUGCUAUUAUUAUGAAAUGUUAUGCAAAAUAAGAAAUUUCAAUAUGAUGUAAAGUAUGAAAUGUUUUCGGGUUAUGUCCUCUGGUGAUCUGAACUCUGCUAGUAGGGGUUAAUUACUAGCUUUCCAUGGAAAACGUUAUAUGAUUGGCCAUUAAGUGGGACUGGCUCUGCUGUACCCGCCCCUUGUUGGUUCCGGCCAACUUGUGGAGGAAGCCAACCUACCCCCAUGGUUGGAAGAUAUAUAUUAUGAUGUAAUCCCGGGAAUACUUGGCAUUGUGGGGAAUGCUGGAUGCCUAGCACUGUGGUGCUAGAAGCCUCCCAAAUAAGUACAGACUUAUCAGAUAUGGGCUAACCAAUAAGUUAUUUAUGAACAUCUAUGUUAUGUUAUUAAUCAUGAGAGAAUUAUUUUGUUAAAAUGCAUUGUGAAAAGUAAAAGCUCUCAUGGCAAGAAG